AAAUUGAAGAGUUUGAUCAUGGCUCAGAUUGAACGCUGGCGGCAGGCCUAACACAUGCAAGUCGAACGGUAGCACAGAGAGCUUGCUCUCGGGUGACGAGUGGCGGACGGGUGAGUAAUGUCUGGGAAACUGCCUGAUGGAGGGGGAUAACUACUGGAAACGGUAGCUAAUACCGCAUAACGUCGCAAGACCAAAGA
rnacentral:rRNA from 2 species